GACGAACGCUGGCGGCGUGCUUAACACAUGCAAGUCGAACGGAGUGGCGAACGGGUGAGGAACACGUGGGUGACCUGCCCUGCACGUCUGGAAAAGCGUGGGAAACGGGGUUUAAUACCGGUUAGUGUGGGAUGGGCCCGCGGCCUAUCAGCUUGUUGGUGGGGUAAUGGCCUACCAAGGCGGCGACGGGUAGCCGGCCUGAGAGGGUGGCCGGCCACAUUGGGACUGAGAGACGGCCCAGACUCCUACGGGAGGCAGCAGUGGGGAAUAUUGCACAAUGGGCGGAAGCCUGAGGCAGCGACGCCGCGUGGGGGAUGACGGCCUUCGGGUUGUAAACUCCUUUCAGCAUCGACGCGGUAGAUGGAGAAGAAGCACCGGCUAACUACGUGCCAGCAGCCGCGGUAAUAC
rnacentral:rRNA from 1 species